rnacentral:rRNA from 1 species
UACGAAGGGGGCUAGCGUUGCUCGGAAUUACUGGGCGUAAAGGGCGCGUAGGCGGCACUGUUAGUCAGGCGUGAAAGUCCUGGGCUCAACCUGGGAUCUGCGCUUGAUACGGCAGAGCUAGAGGAUGGAAGAGGGUCGCGGAAUUCCCAGUGUAGAGGUGAAAUUCGUAGAUAUUGGGAAGAACACCGGUGGCGAAGGCGGCGACCUGGUCCAUUACUGACGCUGAGGCGCGACAGCGUGGGGAGCAAACAGG